rnacentral:rRNA from 1 species
GACGAACGCUGGCGGCGUGCUUAACACAUGCAAGUCGAACGGAAAGGCCCUGCUUUUGUGGGGUGCUCGAGUGGCGAACGGGUGAGUAACACGUGAGUAACCUGCCCUUGACUUUGGGAUAACUUCAGGAAACUGGGGCUAAUACCGGAUAGGAGCUCCUGCUGCAUGGUGGGGGUUGGAAAGUUUCGGCGGUUGGGGAUGGACUCGCGGCUUAUCAGCUUGUUGGUGGGGUAGUGGCUUACCAAGGCUUUGACGGGUAGCCGGCCUGAGAGGGUGACCGGCCACAUUGGGACUGCGAUACGGCCCAGACUCCUACGGGAGGCAGCAGUGGGGAAUAUUGCACAAUGGCCGGAAGCCUGAUGCAGCAACGCCGCGUGCGGGAUGACGGCCUUCGGGUUGUAAACCGCUUUCGCCUGUGACGAAGCGUGAGUGGCGGUAAUGGGUAAAGAAGCACCGGCUAACUACGUG